GGGCCCGCACAAGCAGCGGAGCGUGUGGUUAAUUCGAUGUUACACGAAGAACCUUACCAGGGUUUGACAUGCAAGUGGUAGGAAGCCGAAAGGUGACCGACCCUUCGGGGAGCUUGCACAGGUGCUGCAUGGCUGUCGUCAGCUCGUGUCGUGAGAUGUUCGGUUAAGUCCGCUAACGAGCGCAACCCUCGCUGUGUGUUAUAUGUGUCACACGGGACUGCCGGUCUUAAGCCGGAGGAAGGUGGGGAUGAUGUCAAGUCAGCAUGGCCUUUAUAUCCUGGGCUACACACACGCUACAAUGGCCAACACAAUAGGUUGCUAAGCCGCGAGGUGGCGCCAAUCCAUAAAGUUGGUCUCAGUUCAGAUUGUAGGCUGCAACCCGCCUGCAUGAAGUUGGAAUCGCUAGUAAUCGCGGAUCAGCACGCCGCGGUGAAUACGUUCCCGGGCCUU
rnacentral:rRNA from 1 species